ensembl:miRNA mdo-mir-1547 mdo-mir-1547
UAAAGAACGUAUGAUGUAUCAGAGUCUUGGGUCCUUGUGUAGAUGCUUUGAGACUUCAAGGAUCCCUGACUUGAUCAUUGUGGGUUCUCCC